rnacentral:tRNA from 1 species
GCGGGUGUCGUAUAACGGUUAAUAUUCGAGUUUUCCAAACUUGCGAUCAGAGUUCGACUCUCUGCACCCGCACCA